GCGUCGCUCCAAAAAAGAAAUGUAUAAUUCCCAGUGUCAGUCCGGCGAAAAAUAUGUUAUAAACAAAUAAUAUGAAAAUCCAAACCCCAAACAGUAUUUAACGCGUGUGUUCCCGUCCGCUGGCCCUCGCCAGUCGCCUUUGCCGCGAAUCCACGAUUGUGUGAGUGUGUUUCUGUGUCUGUAUUCGUUGAAUGAUGUGGCUGUGCCGUUUUUUCCAAAUUGCCGUUGAUUACAAGCCGAGACAGUACGAUCACACGCACACACUUGCAAACAAAGACUUUACCGAAAUAAUGAGUGGGGACGGGACGGAUGCAGGCAGCAUUUACAGUUCGACGGGCUCCGCGACGCUCUGCUCUUUUCCCUCGAAUGCAGCGCCUAAUUAGAAAUGAUUUAAUUUCAAUAACGACUUAAUAAAAAUGAAUUUGCGAAACGAAAUUGACGAGAAGAAUAACGUGAAAGGCCUGAGCAGAGAUCGCAUCGGACCAGACCAGGCUCCUCGUGCGUGUGUAUGCAUGUAUUGGUGUGUUUGUGUGUAAUUCGCCAUACUUCUUCCUCAAUGCCUCAAUUCAAAGAACAGACAGAAGAAGAGCACUAAAACAACAAGAACAAGAACAGCGGCAAAAGGCAAGACAUACUUGAAAAAUAAAAGCAGCGCUGCCCCGAUCGUUACUCACUCACACAACGGCACUCACUCACUCCAGUAGUAGUCGCUGCCUCUCUUGCUCCAUCGCUUUGCUCUCCAUUGCUGUACUCUCGCGCGCGUGUGUGUAAGCUUUGCCUGCCAUGUCUGUGUUGCGGUUCUUUGUCGGAGUUGCCACACAGCCUCGAAAUACGUCGAAUUUUAAAUUGGAAACGAACAAGCGCCGCACGGACACUUCGUUGAAAUAGUUGAAGCAUGUAUGUACGUACAUGUGAACGAGUGUGUGUAUGUAGGUUCUGUAUUCCGCUGAUAAGACACGCAGAACCGCCUGCUCCAGAGACUCCCGGCUUAUCAACGAAAAGAGGAAAAAACUGUGUAGCAAAAAUGGGUCGAGCGACGACCGAGCAAGAACAUUGUGUAUUGUUUUUUGUUGUGUUUGCACUAUCGCUUAAUAAUUGAAAUUAAAGAAAAGAAUGAAAAAAAAAAAA